rnacentral:lncRNA from 1 species
AGAAACAGGCAGCCUGACUAGAGAACAAACUACCAAUUAACGAGCGAGGAAACAGGGCCAGAGAAUUGGAACAAAAUACAAGGCUGCCUCUGAAAGGAAUAUCUUUGUGCUGAUGUGUCCAUCAAGAGAACAUACACAGAAGUGACACUUGCCAGUAAUUUGCAAGCAGAUGGAACUUCAAUAUGGCAAUAGAGAAAGAAUCAAUUAGACCAGAGUCUCCUCAGGAAGACUUUCUAUAGCGUAAUUAUCUCUCCAAUUAAAGAGCAACCAAGGGACAACUGAACUGGAGGUUCUGCAGAAUUACAACUAAGCACGCAGCCGAGGAAUCUACUCAGCUUUGAUCUCUUAUCGCUCUGCACACACAGCCCUUUCUCUGUAAGGCUAGCUGCUCUCAGCAUCACUGUGUCUAAUCAAACGUGUCACACCUCCACUGAGAAAAUAUUUACUGGAUAGCUACUAGACAUAAGGAUGCAGAAAUGAAUUAGAAAAAUUCCUCGCCCUUGUUCAAAGCUAUGCUGGCUCUUAGAACAUCUGAGCCCCCACUGUUUCAUCUUUAGAGGAUCCCAGCUGCUGGGGUGUGAGGCCAGUGCUGGAGCCAGCAGUCUCUGACCCAGAAGGGACCUGAGGUGCUAAAGAAAAGGGUACAAGCUGGAAAAGGGGAAAAUGAAUCAUGCUACAGGCCAAGUGUCCAUCACUGAUUCCCAGAGAUGCCCUUUGUGUGGUAGGCACUUCCAUGUGGACUCGCUACAGAGUUUGGAGUUCCUGAACAACAUGGACAGUGUUAAUUUGGAUUCCAUGCUUCAUGGCACAGAAUUGGAGCACUAACUACUCAGUGAUGACUUUCUCUUCCUCUAGCUAAGGUCAUAAGACCCUAAUUCCAGAGGGCCCUACCCUAUAACCAGAAGGAAGAACUAUUGCACAGAGAAUCUAAGAAGAAUCUAGACAGACAGCCCUUGCUGGAUUUCUCCACUCUGUUAGCAUUCGAUCAUUUGCCUUUUGUCCAGUCAUAUUUCUGCAUGGCUGUCCAUACUUUGUUGAACCUAAGCACAAAAUGGAAAGUUUUCCCUGUAUCUUUGGGUCGUCAUUCUGAAGGCUCCCAUGUUAUGUAAAACUAUGAUCAAAUAAAUAUGCAUGCCUUUUCUCCUAUAA